rnacentral:rRNA from 1 species
UACAGAGGUGGCAAGCGUUGUUCGGAAUUACUGGGCGUAAAGGGCGCGUAGGCGGCCUUCUAAGUCAGACGUGAAAUCCCCCGGCUUAACCUGGGAACUGCGUCUGAUACUGGAGGGCUUGAGUGCGGGAGAGGGAUGUGGAAUUCCAGGUGUAGCGGUGAAAUGCGCAGAUAUCAGGAGGAACACCAAUGGCGAAGGCAGCUCGCUGGGACGUGACUGACGCUGAGACGCGAAAGCGUGGGGAGCAAACAGG